rnacentral:rRNA from 1 species
CCUACGGGAGGCAGCAGUGGGGAAUAUUGGGCAAUGGGCGCAAGCCUGAACCAGCCAAGUCGCGUGAGGGAGGACGGCCCUACGGGUUGUAAACCUCUUUUGCCGGGGAGCAACGGGCGUCACGUGUGGCGCCACUGAGAGUACCCGGAGAAAAAGCAUCGGCUAACCCCGUGCCAGAAGCCGCGGUAAUACGGAGGAUGCGAGCGUUAUCCGGAUUUAUUGGGUUUAAAGGGUGCGUAGGCGGAUCGUUAAGUCAGUGGUCAAAUUGAGGGGCUCAACCCCUUCCCGCCAUUGAAACUGGCGUUCUUGAGUGGAAGAGAAGUAUGCGGAAUGCGUGGUGUAGCGGUGAAAUGCAUAGAUAUCACGCAGAACCCCGAUUGCGAAGGCAGCAUGCCGGCUUCCGACUGACGCUGAAGCACGAAAGCGUGGGGAUCGAACAGGAUUAGAUACCCUUGUAGUC